rnacentral:rRNA from 1 species
UACAUAAGCAACGUGCCCUGAAGACCGGAUAGUUACUGGAAACGGUGGGUAAUACAGGAUGUGACUCCUUGAUGGCAUCAUCGAGGAAUUAAAUGGUUUUUCGCUUCAGGAGCGGCUUGUGGCCUAUCAGCUAGUUGGUGGGGUAAUGGCCUACCAAGGCGACGACGGGUAGGGGGUCUGAGAGGAUGAUCCCCCCGAGUGGGACUGAGACACGGCCCACACACCUACGGGUGGCAGCAGUUGGGAAUCUUGCACAAUGGGGGAAACCCUGAUGCAGCGACGCCGCGUGGAGGAUGAAGGAUUUAGGUCUGUAAACUCCUUUUUCAGGGAAAGACUUAGGACGGUACCCUGAGAAUAAGCACCGGCUAACUACGUGCCAGCAGCCGCGGUAAGACGUAGGGUGCAAGCGUUGUCCGGAUUUACUGGGCGUAAAGAGCGCGUAGGCGGUCUGUUAAGUGUGAAGUGAAAUCUCCAGGGCUCAACCCGGAAACUGCUUCGCAUACUGGCAGACUUGAGGGAUGCAGAGGUAAGUGGAAUUCCUGGUGUAGCGGUGACAUGCAUUGAUAUCAGGAGGAACACCCAUGGCGAAGGCAGCUUACUGGGCAUCAUCUGACGCUGAGGCGCGAAAGCGUGGGGAGCAAACAGGAUUAGAUACCCUGGUAGUCC